rnacentral:lncRNA from 1 species
CCCAUGCCAUUUCCUCCACCACCGACGGUGCUCUACACCCAAAUUUUUGAAACUGACCAAAUAUAAUGUCACCCAUAUUUUUGAAAUCAACCUACACCUCAACGUCGACCAACAUUCAGGGAUUAUUUCCCUGAACCUACGAACAACAUUAACAGAGGAAACACAGGGAACGACAACCGAUGAAACGAAAGCGGCGACGAGAAAGGUCAAGAGUAGCGCGACAGAGGAGCAUGCAGAGAGUCAGGCUCUUAACCAGAGUUAGGGUUCAAAAAUGACGGGACUUGUGGUAGAGCUCUUAGUUGGGUUCAAACAUUACUCGGAGUCUGGAUUUAUUAGAUUGGGGGAAGAAAAGUGACUUAUGGUAGGGCUCUCAGUUGGUUAACUCUUUGACAUAGCAAUCUUCAAAUCGCAGAAUGUAUGUUUUCAAGAUGGGGUUAUUUGAUUUG